UGUUGUUGGAUCACUCUCACUUAUAAUAAAGCAUCAUUCUUCUAUAAUAUUGUGAGUGGUAGGCACGACUUCAUCCAGAUUGCAUAGUCUAGAUCCAUACUAGUACUAUGCUUAUUACAUUUCUUGAAAUUAUUGUUGUUAAAUACUAAAAUAAUAUCCAGAUUAACAUAUAUGAACAUUGCAUUAACUGAAAUGGAAAUAAAAUAUU
rnacentral:lncRNA from 1 species